rnacentral:lncRNA from 1 species
CAAGUUACUAAAUCUAUCUGAGACUCAAUUUCUUCUUCUGUAAGGUACAUAUCCACCUUAAAACGUUGCUGUGAGGAUCAGAUGAGCUAACAAGGAACGAGAAAGCACUUCGCUGUGCCCACUGAAAGUGGGCAGAGUGAAUAUAUGCAUGUGUUAGAGUGGGUGAAGAGCAGCCUUCAAGAGAGAGAGUUCCAGCUGCCCUCACUGUGCCCUCCCCCAGCUCUGUGCUGCACCAGGAUCUCCCAGAAGGCAGCCACACCGCUCUCACUGCCUUCUCGCAGCUGUUACCUCCAGCCCUGCAGAACAGGUUACAAUAUAUGAACUUUCAACUGAUCACACACAAUGCAUAUCUCAAGGUAAUUCCGGGAAAGCCGGUUACAGGUGCAGAAUAACUAGAAUGACUAUAUCAGGGGCAGAUCUUGCCUUAAAGGCAGGAACAGAUCCUAUUUUCCACAACUUUAAAAUGACUUGUUUUCCAAACCAAAUCAUGAUGUUUUCUCUGUGUGUGGAAAAUUUUCCAUGAUGCAUAUUUAUAUGUUAGCUGCUGUAUGCGUGAAAAUUUGCUCUCUCUAGAAAUUGUUUCUAGGGACUGGAAAUGAAUGUUAUGGGGAUAAAAGCUAACAUGGUUUUCUAUUGAAAAGAUAGACCGUGUAAAUGAUGCCUGCUUUGCUUUAAAGGGAAAACUCAGGUAAGCAUGGUUUAGUUGAACAGCAUGAAGUCAACCAAAAGUCUCAAAUUUUGUUCAGAAUAAAUUAUGGAAGUAUCUUCCAAUUAGAUUGCAAUCAUUAUUAAUCUGAAAACAAAAGCAAGGGGAAUAAAAUUUGUAGUUAGUUUACAGUAAGUAGUAUUUGAAACUCUGAAAGUUUAGCAUCCCCAUAAAAGC